rnacentral:rRNA from 1 species
GUUUCCGUAGGUGAACCUGCGGAAGGAUCAUUAUUGAAUUAAACCCUGGUCGGGUUGUUGCUGGCCUCUAAGGGCAUGUGCACGCCUGCCAUCGUUUUCAACCACCUGUGCACCUUUUGUAGACUUUUGGAUAUCUUUCGGGGGGUCACACUCUCGGUUUCGAGGGCUGCCGCUUGGCUUCCCUCGCAUUUCCGGUCUAUGCAUUUCAUACACUCCGUAAAGAAUGUAUUAGAAUGUCUUGUUAUUGGCCUCAGUGCCUUUAAUCAAAUACAACUUUCAGCAACGGAUCUCUUGGCUCUCGCAUCGAUGAAGAACGCAGCGAAAUGCGAUAAGUAAUGUGAAUUGCAGAAUUCAGUGAAUCAUCGAAUCUUUGAACGCACCUUGCGCUCCUUGGUAUUCCGAGGAGCAUGCCUGUUUGAGUGUCAUUAAAUUCUCAACCUAACCAGCUUUUGUGAGCUGGGAUAGGCUUGGAUUGUGGGGGUUUUCUUUGCGGGCUUCAUCUCAGAGGUCGGCUCCCCUUAAAAGCAUUAGUGGAACCUUCUGUUGACCUGUUUCCUGGUGUGAUAAUUAUCUACAUCGUGUGCAGUCAGCUAUCUAACAGGUUUCUGCUUCCAACUUGUAUCACCCUUUUUACUUGGGGGGGAACGCUUUGACCAUUUGACCUCAAAUCAGGUAGGACUACCCGCUGAACUUAAGCAUAUCAAUAAGCGGAGGAAAGUGGUAGCAAACUGACAAGGAUUCCCCUAGUAACUGCGAGGAAAGCGGGAAA